UGUGUUUUACCAGAGAAUCCCGAUUCAAGAGAUGAGGAAUUGAGAAGAAAGUAUGAAGGGCCUAGUCCAGAUGCAUUGAUGGACAAAUUGUUCCAACAAAACUCCUGUUCAUAUCGGAUUGAGAGCUACUGGACAUAUGAGCUAUGCCAUGGGAGGUAUUUAAGACAGUACCAUGAAGAGAAAGAAAUGAGUGCUAAAAAGCCAAAAGGACAAGAAUAUUAUCUUGGCUAUUUUGGACAAUAUAAGCCUACAAAAGGACAAGAUUUAAUGAAGGAGUUGGAGGAAAAAUUGAAACCUCAGGAAAUCAAAAGUAAACGGAUAGAUGAUAUUGAGUUGCCCUACUAUGAAGUAAACAUGACCCAAGGAACAGAGUGUGACCUGAAUAAGCAACCCCGACAAGUCCGAAUUCUGUACAUCUGUCAGCCUGACGGGCGUGGGGAAAUAUACGAGCUGAAAGAAACGUCAACCUGUGAAUAUGAAGUGUUGGUGCUAACAUCUGUAUUGUGUGAAAAUCCAAAGUUCAAACCAAAGAAUCCUCCUGUCUCUAAAAUAGCUUGUCAUGCUAUGGAUGGCUCACCUGCUCGGCCGAGGGAUCUAGACAGUGACUUCCAAAAACACCCUUAUGCCAAAUCUUACACUGUAAAAAUAAAUCUAAAUGAGGACAUUGCAGAAGAAGAAGAGGAAGAAGAAGAAGAGGAGGAGGAGGCCGUUCCAAAAAUCCUGCCCACAAGGAAAGAGCCUCCUCCUCCAAAACCAGUGGACACCACCCUGUCUUCCACUACAGACAACCAGGUGCUAAGGGACUUCUUGUCAGGGGACCACUGUCUGCAAGGAGGAACAGGUUGGUGGAAACAUGAGUUUUGUUUUGGAAAGUAUGCAAGACAGUUUCAUGAUGAUCCAGAGGGGAGAACAGUAAUUUACCUUGGACAAUGGAAUGAGAAGAAUCAUUUAGAAUGGGUGUCAAAAAAUCCUUCAAAGAUGCCUAAAGAAAAAGGCAAAAGGAAAUCCCUGUCUUUUCUGUAUACUGAUGGUGACCAGUGUGAGCUCACAGGGAAAACACGAAUAGCAGAAGUUAGAUUAAAAUGUGUAGAAAAUAAUGCAUCACCACAUUCUGUAUCUAUAUAUCUCAUUGAGCCUAAAACAUGUGAAUACAUCAUGGGAAUCGAGUCGCCAUUAUUUUGUUCAAUUUUAGACAGAGCUGAUGAAUAUGGUAUUAUAAAGGACACAAAAGUUUGAUAAGAACUUUGGAAAGAAAUGAAAUCCAGGAAGUCUUUCAUGUGAUACAUGUGACUGUGUGUUUGUGUGUAAAUGGUGGGUUGUCAUGAUUGCGGACUAUUUGUUUUAUCCUACUCACAUAAUGUUUCGAAGCUUCUGAGUAACGGUACUCUCUUUACAUGGUUUAUAGCUUUUUAUGAUCAUGGGCGUAAACGAAUGCUGUAAUAUUUAGAUGUGUUUAGUUGUAAGCAGCUUUCCUGUCAAUACAGUAAUUUGCAAUGGACAAACAGAGGGUCAGUCAUUUUUUUUACCUCUUUCAUUGCAAGUCAUAGCAAAGACAAAUGAGCAUAUAGAAGCAAGGUUGGUCACACUUGAUCGCUUUACUUUAAAAUGUCUAGUUCAUUAAAGUAUCGGUAUACUGUAAGUUUUUUUUGUAGUCAAUGUACAAAAAGACGGAGAAUUUAAUUUGAAUGUAAAUAAGAUAUUUUGUUUCUUGUUGACUGUUCAGAUUUUAUGUUGAUUUGUGUUUAAUAUUUUCUUUUCCUGUACACAAACAUUAUUUACUCUCGUCAGUUUUGAUAUUGGAACUAUGCAAAGAUUUUAUAUGUUGAUGGUGCAAUUUUAUUGUUGUCAAGUAUGCAGAGGAUGUUCAUAUACAUGAACCAGUAUUACUUAUUAAAAAGUUUUAAAACAAGAAAACUAAUGAACUUGUGCAGGUAAUAUAAUCACUAUCUUGUCUAAAUUUGAAAUUCAUAAAGCGUUUUUCUUCAAAUAUUUUAUACAGAUUAACUCUCUCAGUAAUAAUAAUUGUUGGCUAUUCAUGUACAUGCACAUGCAUACACCUCUACAUACAUUUUCUUGAUUACAGUUUAAUUUGUUGAAUAUCCAAAAUAAAGAUUCACUAAACCU
rnacentral:misc_RNA from 1 species